CGCUUAGCGAAUGUUUUACCCUGCGCGGUGGACUUCGCUUUGAAUCUUGGCGGCGACGAAUUCAAUUCAAGGCUCUCAAAGCGGGCGUCACUGUGUCAACGGUGAGUGCCCACCUCGACUUGUUGCCAUGACGACGAGGAGCCAAAAUUCACCGCUGGCCCUCGAGGUCAUGGGAGUUCACUUCAGAGCUGGCGAAGCCUUUCGGAUUAAAGACUGAAGGCAGUCGGGCUUGCUCUGCAUUCAACUCAGCCUUGCCGGUGCUCGGAGAGUCAGGGCCAGACAGUCUACCGAUGUUAUUGCCCCAAAUGGCAGCGGGACCAAGGUGACACAAAGCACCAUUUGCGAUGACGAAAACGUAUCAAGCUGUUUAUAUUACGAUCCUAAAUACAAUCUCGCGCAGCUUCAAAGUGCAAUGUUGCCACGCUCUGUAAUAAACGGUGGUGCAAUAAUUGCCAAUUAUGCCUUACUUGCAUCUAUUUUUUACUGGAAAAAAAAUAAUAGCUCGCAGCAUGCGGCUCAUUGCAGAUGAUUACUGUGUGCUUCCACUUCUGAGCAUAAACAGGAUAUAAAAGGCAUACAAUCAUGAGUCGUUUUUAUCAAUGGCGCACAAAUGAAGAUAAAUGGACUUUGCUUGCUUUCUGGUCUCUACGUCGUCUUUCAAUCAAACUUUUCAAAACAUGGGACUUC